AAUCACGAAGAAAGUCAGUCGCUUUUCGAACCAAUCGAAGAGAGCUCGGUCGAAGCUCGCGAGCAGGGGAGAAAAGAUUGCAACUUUGCGAUGCACGCACCUUGUAAGAAUGAGGGUUGGCGUGGGACAGGGAAGAUAAGAAGGGGAGCUGUUCUUGAGCAGGUGACGAUGGAAGUUUCAAGAUAAAAACCCUAGUAGUGUGCACUGGAGAGGGAGACGAGAUGUUUUAUUAUAAAGAUGAUAAGAGAGGCUUCUAGAAUUU
rnacentral:lncRNA from 1 species